UCCAAAUUGCUUUCUUUCUUGUUUUCCUUACUAUUUUGCUUUGCUGAUAUGUGUGGUUUCUUUUUGUUUAGGCUUGCUUCUUUUUCUAGCUCCUCGCUUAAAAAUAUGUGAUUUUGGGUACUCAAAGGUAUUAUUCUCUGUUUUCUAUUUGUUACUUAUCCUUUUCUUUUGGAUAAUGUCUUUGUUACUAUUAUCUAAUGUAUACUUUGUGUCCACACUUUUAAUAGAAAGAAAAGGAGCUCAGAGCUAGUCAAGAUGACCUUCUAAUAGACCACUUGUUUCUAUAUCAAUUGCCUUGAUGGAUUACCGUAGCUAAGCCAAUCCCCUGGACCAAUGUCUUUCUUGUUAGAAACUUAAGACCUACCUGAUACCUGUCUCAUCAUUUCUUUUAUAACUCUGUGCACUUUGAUGGGAUCGAUCCUGUUAAGCUAAUCGUUUUUCUUUCCACGAGACAUACGGAUCGGAUCUGCUAUAGCAGGAGGAGCAAAUCAUUUCUAUUAUAACUCUGUGCACUUUGUUACUUAUUCUUUUCUUUUAUAUUCUCCUCAUACGUAGGAGGAGCAAAAGCAGUUCAUGUACCAACAAAAGUUGAAUGCUUGGCUGGAAUCACCAUUAGGAUGGAAGCUUUGGGAUCAGAGCACUCAAUGGCUGUUACUGAUGGUCAUAUGGGGUAACUUUAUAUGUGAUGUUGAUGGGAUCAUAUCCUUUUGAGGAUCCAAAUGAACCCAAAUGAACCAAAGGAUAUCAGGAAGACUAUACAAUGACGGUGCAGCUGCAUUAGUGAUAGUGAGUGGGGAGAAGGCACUUGAACUUGGGUUACAUGUUCUUGUUCUUUGAUACAGCAUUUUGAUAAUGCAAAGUGCUUUCUGUUAAAAAGAAGUGGGAGAGGAGAAGCAACCAUGUUUAUACCCAAGUGGAUAUUGAUGAGAUGAGGAAUGAGUGGGCUAGGUUUGUGGUUAAUAAAUACGUGUAGAAGCC